ACUUACGUCUCCGCUUCUAACUUCCAUUUGCAGAGUUCAUCAAUUCUCUGGAAAUGGAUUAGAACCGUGAAAUGUUAGU
rnacentral:miRNA from 14 species